UACGAAGGGGGCUAGCGUUGUUCGGAAUUACUGGGCGUAAAGCGCACGUAGGCGGGUUGUUAAGUCAGGGGUGAAAUCCUGGAGCUCAACUCCAGAACUGCCUUUGAUACUGGCAACCUAGAGACUGGAAGAGGUUAGUGGAAUUCCCAGUGUAGAGGUGAAAUUCGUAGAUAUUCGCAAGAACACCCGUGGCGAAGGCGGCUCUCUGGGACGGUACUGACGCUGAGACGCGAAAGCGUGGGGAGCGAACAGG
rnacentral:rRNA from 1 species